rnacentral:rRNA from 1 species
GUGGGGAAUCUUGCGCAAUGGGCGAAAGCCUGACGCAGCCAUGCCGCGUGAAUGAUGAAGGUCUUAGGAUUGUAAAAUUCUUUCACCGGGGACGAUAAUGACGGUACCCGGAGAAGAAGCCCCGGCUAACUUCGUGCCAGCAGCCGCGGUAAUACGAAGGGGGCUAGCGUUGCUCGGAAUUACUGGGCGUAAAGGGCGCGUAGGCGGACAGUUUAGUCAGAGGUGAAAGCCCAGGGCUCAACCUUGGAAUUGCCUUUGAUACUGGCUGUCUUGAGUACGGGAGAGGUGAGGGGAACUCCGAGUGUAGAGGUGAAAUUCGUAGAUAUUCGGAAGAACACCAGUGGCGAAGGCGACUCACUGGCCCGUUACUGACGCUGAGGCGCGAAAGCGUGGGGAGCAAACAGGAUUAGAUACCCCUGUAGUCC